AUACAUGCAAGUCGAGCGAGCUGAAUUCAAAGAUCCCUUCGGGGUGAUUUGUUGGACGCUAGCGGCGGAUGGGUGAGUAACACGUGGGCAAUCUGCCCUAAAGACUGGGAUACCACUUGGAAACAGGUGCUAAUACCGGAUAACAACAUGAAUCGCAUGAUUCAAGUUUGAAAGGCGGCGCAAGCUGUCACUUUAGGAUGAGCCCGCGGCGCAUUAGCUAGUUGGUGGGGUAAAGGCCUACCAAGGCAAUGAUGCGUAGCCGAGUUGAGAGACUGAUCGGCCACAUUGGGACUGAGACACGGCCCAAACUCCUACGGGAGGCAGCAGUAGGGAAUCUUCCACAAUGGACGCAAGUCUGAUGGAGCAACGCCGCGUGAGUGAAGAAGGUUUUCGGAUCGUAAAGCUCUGUUGUUGGUGAAGAAGGAUAGAGGCAGUAACUGGUCUUUAUUUGACGGUAAUCAACCAGAAAGUCACGGCUAACUACGUGCCAGCAGCCGCGGUAAUACGUAGGUGGCAAGCGUUGUCCGGAUUUAUUGGGCGUAAAGCGAGCGCAGGCGGAAUGAUAAGUCUGAUGUGAAAGCCCACGGCUCAACCGUGGAACUGCAUCGGAAACUGUCAUUCUUGAGUG
rnacentral:rRNA from 1 species